GGGGGCGUAAAGGUUUCGACGGGGAUCGUGAAUCGGGUCAAGCACGCGGAGUUCGCCUAAACUCCUUAAUAAUGGGUAACUUUAAAAUUAAACGCAGAUCAUAACGAUUUUGCACUCGCUGCCUGAGCGCAGCGCGUCCUGCCGAUGAGUGCUGCGGCUUCGGUUUGGGCGUCACACAGCAGCCAACGCGUAGGGUGAGAGCUCUGUAACUCCACGCGCUCUUAAAGAGCUGCCGGAGGUCUAUCCUGUCGUUCGGAGAGACCAAAGGGAGAUUCAAAAGAUCGACUAAGCGUGUAGAAAAAUCCGCGGAUCGGUUUUCGGACAGGGGUUCGACUCCCCUCGCCUCCACCA
rnacentral:tmRNA from 1 species